GACGGAGGAUGCAAGUGUUAUCCGGAAUCACUGGGCGUAAAGCGUCUGUAGGUGGUCAAAUAAGUCAACUGUUAAAUCUUGAGGCUCAACCUCAAAAUCGCAGUCGAAACUAUUCGACUAGAGUAUAGUAGGGGUAAAGGGAAUUUCCAGUGGAGCGGUGAAAUGCGUAGAGAUCCGGAAGAACACCAAAGGCGAAGGCACCAUCCUGGGGAGUCACUGACGCUCGGGUGCGAAAGCCAGGGGAGCGAACGGG
rnacentral:rRNA from 1 species